CCUGGCCAUAGAGGUGUCCCAGGUGUGGCUGCAAUGUAACAUGUGCAUCCUUAGGUGACAGAGAAUAAAUAGGCUAUAUCUAUGCUCAAUGUUCUGACCUGUGAACAUCUGAAUAAUUAGUAGUCCAACAUU